rnacentral:rRNA from 1 species
AGAGUUUGAUCCUGGCUCCGAAUAAACGCUAGUAGUAUGCUUAACACAUGCAAGUUGAACGUAAAUUUUUAUUUUAUUUUUCAAUUUAAUAAAAAAAUACGUAGCGAACGGGUGCGUAAUGCGCGAGAAUCUACCUUACAGUCUGGAAUAAUUAUAUUGUUUUUAACAAAAAUAGGUUUUAAUUAUAAAAUUUAGUAAAAAUACCAGAUACAUUUAAAGAAAUAUUUCGCUGUAAGAUGAGCUUUCGUAGGAUUAGGUAGUUGGUAGGGUAAAAGCCUACCAAGCCUACGAUCCUUAGCCGGUUUGAGAGGAUGAUCGGCCACACUGGGACUGAGACACGGCCCAGACUCCUUCGGGAGGCAGCAGUGAGGAAUUUUGGACAAUGAGCGAAAGCUUGAUCCAGCAAUACUACAUGAGUGAUGAAGGCUUUUUUGGCCGUAAAACUCUUUCAUCGAGGAGGAUAAUGACAGUACUCGAAGAAGAAGCCCCGGCUAACUCCGUGCCAGCAGCCGCGGUGAUACGGGGGGGGCGAGUGUUAUUCUAAAUUAUUGGGCGUAAAGGGUCUGUAGGCGGGAAUACAAGUUGAAACCUAAAAUUUAGAACUUAAUUCUAAACCGAGUUUCAAAACUAUAUUUCUUGAGUAUGAGAGGGGAUAAUAGAAUUUCUAGUGGAGGAAUAGAAUUCGUAGAUAUUAGAAGGAAUACCAGAGGCGAAGGCGAUUAUCUGGCUCAAUACUGACGCUGAGAGACGAAAGCAUGGGUAGCGAACGGGAUUAGAUACCCCGGUAGUCCAUAGCUGUAAACGAUGAGUGCUCGCACUUAGAUAGCUUUUUAGGUGCCAAGCUAACGCAUUAAGCACUCCGCCUGGGGAGUACAAUCGCAAGAUUGAAACUCAAAGGAAUUGACGGGGGCCCACACAAGCGGUGGAGCAUGUGGUUUAAUUCGACAAUACGCGCAGAACCUUACCAGCUCUUGACAUAUAGAUCUAUGACUUAUGAGAAUAAAUUCAUGUAAGCUAAUAUAUUGGCUUUUUGUAUCUAUACAGGUGUUGCAUGGCUGUCGUCAGCUCGUGUCGUGAGAUGUUAGGUUAAGUCCUUUAACGAGCGCAACCCUUAUUAUUUGUUGCUAUUUUAAGAAUUUCUUAGAAGCACUCUAAUAAAACUGCCAGUGAUAAACUGGAGGAAGGUGGGGAUGACGUCAAGUCCUCAUGGCCCUUAUGGGCUGGGCUACACACGUGCUACAAUGGUAAUGACAAAGGGAAGCAAUAGUGCAAACUGGAGCGAAUCCUAAAACAUUAUCUCAGUUCGGAUUGCAGGCUGCAACUCGCCUGUAUGAAGUCGGAAUCGCUAGUAAUCGUAGAUCAGCAUGCUACGGUGAAUAUGUACCUGGGCCUUGUACACACCGCCCGUCACGUCAUGGAAAUGAAUUGCAUUUGAUACAGAGUCUUUAAUCAAAUAAGGUCUUUUACCUUUUUAUAAAUAUUAUAAGGAGGUUUUUACUUUUUUGGAGUAAGUUCUAUUAAAAAGUGGUUUUUAACUGUGAUGAAGUCGUAACAAGGUAACUUUAGAGGAAUCUGAAGUUG